GUGUAACUGUGGACUCUUCUCUUGUUUACAGACAUCAGGCAAUGCCUUACCAGAACAAUUAUUGCCUCAUACCACUUCAAAUACUGAUGCGGGUGGAAAAAGACAAAUGUCUGAAGCAUGCUCCCCUCCCUGGAAUGUGUUAGGAAAAGACCAGUCCCUCAGUCAAUAAAAAGGAUUAAAUCUCUUUUCUACAAAAUGAACUCCUUGGAGGAUCUUCAUAGCUCAGGCAAAUACUAUUUCAAGAGAUUCUUCAGCAAACAGGCCAGAAGGUUCUCUGUGAGUAUACUAAAAAAUAAAUACACGAUGAGGAUUCAGCCAUUUGUGCUAAUGAAACGGAACUGGAAACCAAAGUUUCUGCAAAUACAAGGACUGAGAUAUGUCUGUUACAAAUGGAUAUGAAGUCAGAAAGUUUGAAUAUAAAGUAAGUACAUUUUGGACCAAGAACAGAAACCCAGGCUUUGCAUCUCCAUAGGAAAUGGACUAACCAUUGGACUAGACAGUUAUUACCAUUAGCCUUGGUGGUCUUUGCAUGGUUUUUGAAGAAUUUUACAAAGUGGAACAAAGCUACCACAGGAGCAAGGAAGGAAACAGACUGUUUCCCCUGCCUCUCUCUCCUUGAACAAAGUAAGAAGGUAUCUUUAUCUUUCUGAUUAGAAGGAAAUGGCUACAAACGAAGGUGAUGUCACUUUGAAUAUUGUCAGCAAUGGACCCUUUAGAUGCACCGAGGUAUCCUAGCCCAGAAGUCUCAAGAUGAUUA